GACGAACGCUGGCGGCGUGCUUAACACAUGCAAGUCGAACGGAAAGGCCCUGUUUUUGUGGGGGGCUCGAGUGGCGAACGGGUGAGUAACACGAGAGUAACCUGCCCUUGAUUUUGGGAUAACUUCCGGAAACUGGCGCUAAUACCGGAUAGGAGCUCCUGCUGCAUGGUGGGGGUUGGAAAGUUUCGGCGGUUGGAGAUGGACUCGCGGCUUAUCAGCUUGUUGGUGGGGUAGUGGCUUACCAAGGCUUAGACGGGUAGCCGGCCUGAGAGGGUGACCGGCCACAUUAGGACUGAGAUGCGGCCCAGCCUCCUACGAGAGGCAGGAGUGGAGGAUAUUGCACAAGGGGCGGAGGCCGGAUGCGGGAACGCCGCGUGCGGGAUGACGGCCUUCGGGUUGUAACCCGCUUUCGCCUGUGACGAAGCGUUAGUGACGGUAAUGGAUAAAGAAGCACCGGCUAACUACGUG
rnacentral:rRNA from 1 species